GCCCAUCUAGCGCAAUGGUAACGCGACCUGGCAGUGUUGGGCCGGCGCUUUACCACUACCUAAUAGUAGAAGGUUAUAAGACCGACGGAACCUUCAGGGAGUCUCUUGGUUCAAAUCUAAGGAUGGGCA